GACGAACGCUGGCGGCGUGCUUAACACAUGCAAGUCGAACGAUGAAGCCGGAGCUUGCUCUGGUGAAUUAGUGGCGAACGGGUGAGUAACACGUGAGUAACCUGCCCUUGACUCUGGGAUAACUGCGGGAAACUGUAGCUAAUACCGGAUACGACCCUCGGAGGCAUCUCCUGGGGGUGGAAAGAAUUUCGGUCAAGGAUGGACUCGCGGCCUAUCAGCUAGUUGGUGAGGUAAAGGCUCACCAAGGCGACGACGGGUAGCCGGCCUGAGAGGGUGACCGGCCACACUGGGGCUGAGACACGGCCCAGACUCCUACGGGAGGCAGCAGUGGGGAAUAUUGCACAAUGGGCGCAAGCCUGAUGCAGCAACGCCGCGUGAGGGAUGACGGCCUUCGGGUUGUCAACCUCUUUUAGUAGGGAAGAAGCGAAAGUGACGGUACCUGCAGAAAAAGCACCGGCUAACUACGUGCCAGCCGCCGCCGUAA
rnacentral:rRNA from 1 species